GGCACCUUGGUUUAGUUGGUCAAAGCGCCAGUCUAGUAAACUUGAGAUCGCCAGUUCGAAUCUCACUGGGACCU
rnacentral:tRNA from 1 species